rnacentral:rRNA from 1 species
CCUACGGGUGGCAGCAGUGGGGAAUAUUGGACAAUGGGGGCAACCCUGAUCCAGCCAUGCCGCGUGUGUGAAGAAGGCCCUCGGGUUGUAAAGCACUUUCAGUGAGGAAGAACGCCUGGUGGUUAAUACCCAUCAGGAAAGACAUCACUCACAGAAGAAGCACCGGCUAACUCCGUGCCAGCAGCCGCGGUAAUACGGAGGGUGCGAGCGUUAAUCGGAAUUACUGGGCGUAAAGCGCGCGUAGGUGGCUUGAUAAGCCGGUUGUGAAAGCCCCGGGCUCAACCUGGGAACGGCAUCCGGAACUGUCAAGCUAGAGUGCAGGAGAGGAAGGUGGAAUUCCCGGUGUAGCGGUGAAAUGCGUAGAGAUCGGGAGGAAUACCAGUGGCGAAGGCGGCCUUCUGGACUGACACUGACACUGAGGUGCGAAAGCGUGGGUAGCAAACAGGAUUAGAUACCCGAGUAGUC